rnacentral:rRNA from 1 species
GGGGGGGGGGGGGGGGGGGGUGGGCGGGGGGGGGGGGGGGGGGGGGGCCCGGUGGGGGGUAGACGGGUGGCGAACGGGGGCGUGCGAGGUGGGUAGCCUGCCCGCCACUUUGGGCUAACGCUAGGAACCUGGUGCUACUACUGGAGAUGUGCCCCUGAUGCAUUGUGGGGGUUGGGAAGCUCCGGCGGUUGUGGAUGGACUCGCGGCCUGUCAGCUUGUUGGUGGAGUAGUGGCCUACCCAGGCGGCGACGGGUAGCCGGCCUGAGAGGGUGCCCGGCCACAUGGGGACUGAGAUACGGCCCAGACUCCUACGGGAGGCCGCAGUGGGGAAGAUUGCACCAUGGGCGCAAGCCUGAUGCAGCAACGCCGCGGGCGGGAUGACGGCCUUCGGGUUGGAAACCGCUUGCAGCAGGGACGAAGCUUUUUGUGACGGUACCUGCAGAAGAAGCACCGGCUAACUACGUG